UACGUAGGGUGCAAGCGUUAAUCGGAAUUACUGGGCGUAAAGCGUGCGCAGGCGGUUAUGUAAGACAGUUGUGAAAUCCCCGGGCUCAACCUGGGAACUGCAUCUUUGACUGCAUAGCUAGAGUACGGUAGAGGGGGAUGGAAUUCCGCGUGUAGCAGUGAAAUGCGUAGAUAUGCGGAGGAACACCGAUGGCGAAGGCAAUCCCCUGGACCUGUACUGACGCUCAUGCACGAAAGCGUGGGGAGCAAACAGG
rnacentral:rRNA from 1 species